GAUGAACGCUGGCGGCGUGCCUAAUACAUGCAAGUCGAGCGAACGGACGAGAAGCUUGCUUCUCUGAUGUUAGCGGCGGACGGGUGAGUAACACGUGGAUAACCUACCUAUAAGACUGGGAUAACUUCGGGAAACCGGAGCUAAUACCGGAUAAUAUUUUGAACCGCAUGGUUCAAAAGUGAAAGACGGUCUUGCUGUCACUUAUAGAUGGAUCCGCGCUGCAUUAGCUAGUUGGUAAGGUAACGGCUUACCAAGGCAACGAUGCAUAGCCGACCUGAGAGGGUGAUCGGCCACACUGGAACUGAGACACGGUCCAGACUCCUACGGGAGGCAGCAGUAGGGAAUCUUCCGCAAUGGGCGAAAGCCUGACGGAGCAACGCCGCGUGAGUGAUGAAGGUCUUCGGAUCGUAAAACUCUGUUAUUAGGGAAGAACAUAUGUGUAAGUAACUGUGCACAUCUUGACGGUACCUAAUCAGAAAGCCACGGCUAACUACGUGCCAGCAGCCGCGGUAAUACGUAGGUGGCAAGCGUUAUCCGGAAUUAUUGGGCGUAAAGCGCGCGUAGGCGGUUUUUUAAGUCUGAUGUGAAAGCCCACGGCUCAACCGUGGAGGGUCAUUGGAAACUGGAAAACUUGAGUGCAGAAGAGGAAAGUGGAAUUCCAUGUGUAGCGGUGAAAUGCGCAGAGAUAUGGAGGAACACCAGUGGCGAAGGCGACUUUCUGGUCUGUAACUGACGCUGAUGUGCGAAAGCGUGGGGAUCAAACAGGAUUAGAUACCCUGGUAGUCCACGCCGUAAACGAUGAGUGCUAAGUGUUAGGGGGUUUCCGCCCCUUAGUGCUGCAGCUAACGCAUUAAGCACUCCGCCUGGGGAGUACGACCGCAAGGUUGAAACUCAAAGGAAUUGACGGGGACCCGCACAAGCGGUGGAGCAUGUGGUUUAAUUCGAAGCAACGCGAAGAACCUUACCAAAUCUUGACAUCCUUUGACAACUCUAGAGAUAGAGCCUUCCCCUUCGGGGGACAAAGUGACAGGUGGUGCAUGGUUGUCGUCAGCUCGUGUCGUGAGAUGUUGGGUUAAGUCCCGCAACGAGCGCAACCCUUAAGCUUAGUUGCCAUCAUUAAGUUGGGCACUCUAAGUUGACUGCCGGUGACAAACCGGAGGAAGGUGGGGAUGACGUCACAUCAUCAUGCCCCUUAUGAUUUGGGCUACACACGUGCUACAAUGGACAAUACAAAGGGCAGCGAAACCGCGAGGUCAAGCAAAUCCCAUAAAGUUGUUCUCAGUUCGGAUUGUAGUCUGCAACUCGACUACAUGAAGCUGGAAUCGCUAGUAAUCGUAGAUCAGCAUGCUACGGUGAAUACGUUCCCGGGUCU
rnacentral:rRNA from 1 species